UACGCCGAGUAUCGUCCAUAAAGGACUAUGUUUGACCCACGUACGCCAGGAAAGUGUAAGGUCAGGAUAACUGUGUACGUUGGGAAUUCAAGGAAUAGUAUCGCGUAACAUUUUAUUUUCUCCGAUGAAACAUCCGCGUGACUUUGGGCUUUCUUGUUGGUAGUUUGGAAUCACUCUCAUAGGUCUAGUCUCACAAGCAAAAUCUUAAAAAUACUUUUAAAACGAAAAGUAUUAUCGAAUGGGAAGAAUUCCAUAUUUACAAUCACGCAUCUAAAUAAUGACGCUGUACAGUGGACAGGGUUCGCACUCGGCAUCUCGGUGAUGACAGACAUAAGAGCGUACCACAACGGCCAGCAGCCCCCUUCACGGGAAGGUUAGGCAUUAUACAGCUCUUCCAAUUCAUUGUGAGAAAAAAACAACAACUCUCAACCAGUGCACACACAAGUUUAAACUAGUUCACCCGAAAUAGCUUGCUGUGUGUUGCACCAAGUAGAUGGCUUCCUUCCGGUAAAGUGCAGAGAGCUGAUACAUGGAGAGUAGCAUUACUUCAUUAGUAGCGUGAGUGUCCAACGCCUAGACAGAUACCUCUGAUACCCAGGAGGAUGCACAAUUCAGUUUGACCACAGACCAUUGUCUACUAGCAGAUACACUGUCAAGACUUAGCAUAUUUGUAUUAGUUAUAAUUGUUAGAAUUCAUUUUUUUCCCAAUACAAUGUGAAACGUGCCUUUAACUAUUAGAGAUGGUAUCUUGUCGUAUAUUAUUGCUAUACAUAGGAGUUGAUCUUUUCUUGUAUGUUUGCUGUUUUACAUAUUAAAUAUUAACGUGGAAAGGACUAGGCUUGUCGACUUCAAAUUGUAAUUUAACUCUCCAUGCCACUAUUUUUUUUUCUCAUUUAUUCUUUUCUCUCUUUCCCUUUGUUGUAAAUAGCUGGACAUAUUUCUUUUGUUAGGCUAAUAAGGGCUAUUUCACUUUCAUGUACAUUAUAUAAAUUUGUGUGUAGAUAUAUAUGUUUAUAUAUAUGUAUAUAAGUAUGUGUAUGACACAGUGUGUGUAUGUAUGUAUAUUUAUGUAUAUAUUUGAAUGACUGUUAUCUAAUAACAGUCAUAUCGUGAGAGGGGGGAUGUCAGGGAGAGGUAUGGCGAGAAUGAAUAUUAGUUUGAUAUUUGGUAUGAUUGUUAUAUCCCCUUGUUAUGAAUGCGAAGUGUUGCACGUGUUGUGAACUGAGUGAUAAGUCUUCGUUGAAUGUGCGAGAGAAUGUGUUAGUCAGUAAGGUCUUGCUCCCGGUCCAGGAAGGUUGGACGUUUACUUCCUGGACUGGUAUUUAUGUAUUUAUAAGUUGAUGGACUGGUGUUUUGUGUAUUACUAUUUCAUAAGAGUGAUAUAAUUGUGCGCGUUAUCAAGUAUUAAAGUAUUGUUGAUAUUCAUAAAUAUAA